CCACAAUGAAAAUUUGGCAUUAUCCUAUAGUUGUGUCCGGUCUGCUCUCUGUCCUUAAUAUUAACUGCUUAGAGCUUUGACUUUUUUUUUUCAUUAUUAAUUGUUUACAUGUAUCACAUAUUGUUGUAUGGCCUUAAUUUUCUAUCACAUCCAUUAAAAUAGUAGUCUUUUUUAUUUGUCCAUAUAUGUUGACCAAAGUAAACACACGCAAGAUUUCAUUUUGAUUUCCCCCCCAAAUUUAAACAACUAUAAUAACCAAUAAAUCCCAUAUGAAAAACAAAACAAACAUCAAAAGCAAUCGGAUAAUGAGUUCAAACUUGGCCUCCACUCAAAAGCAAUAUGGAAGAAGAAGAAUGUGGAGGUGGAGGUGGUAGUGCUGCUGAAUGUCUAAUUAAUGGACCUACAAUGUGAAGUUGAUAGGCCUAAAAGGUUUUUUAAAAAAUAUCAUGAGGGUUUUGUGAUAGUGAGAGACUUCUCGGACCCUCUUUUCAAAUCGGGGGAUAUGCUCCUUUGUUUUUAUCCUCCAUUACGCUACGCUAAUGUUCGAUUUGACCAAAACCACCCCCACGAAAUCACAUUUUAUACACACAUAUACGUAUGUGUAGGUGCAUUAGUGGUAUUCAUACACCGCACGUGUAAAUCGCGUGCCAUCAUUAAUGGCUGUAAUGGAAGUAUAUAUCAUUGCAAUAAGAAAAGAAAAAAAAAAUGUACAAUUCAGCAUUUGUUCGGUUGCAGUUGUAGAGAAAAUUAGAAGCCGCCAUUGUUUUUUUGACCGGAGAGAUAGAUAGGCAUGAAUAUCUUUCAUAAAUUUGCAAGUAAAAGUUGCUUAAAUAUCAAUCAUUCCGUAAUAGAUAUCACUAAAAACGAUACCUUUUUUAUUUUUAUUUUAUUAUUAAACCGAUGCGCCUAUUUUCUUAAUAUACAAGGAAAUGUAAAUCCCAAACUAAUUAAAUUCUAAAUUUAACUGAAUGUUUGUGUGUGUGUGUAUCUCUCAACUAUUAAUAAGAUUUUAUAAAAAAAAACUAUUGAUAAGAUUACUUUAAAUAGCGUCGCUAUAAAAUAUAAAAAUUACAAAAAUGCAUAACAAUACCCAAUAAAACUUUAUCCCCCAAUGUUUUGAUGAUAAAUAUAUGCUAGCAAAUAAAUUGUCAAAAGAUAACUUUGCAUGGGUUGCUUCAAUAUCAAUCAUGGUAUCUUUUAUUUUUUUUGUCUUUUAAAAUAUAAGCACCGAGAACAGAGAAUUUGUCUUCCAAUUUCAUUAUAUAUAUAUAUAUAUAUAUAUAUAUAUAUAUAUAUUAAAAAUACACUUUC